rnacentral:rRNA from 1 species
AUUGAACGCUGGCGGCAUGCUUUACACAUGCAAGUCGAACGGUAACAGGCCGCAAGGUGCUGACGAGUGGCGAACGGGUGAGUAAUGCAUCGGAACGUGCCCAGUCGUGGGGGAUAACUACUCGAAAGAGUAGCUAAUACCGCAUACGAUCUAUGGAUGAAAGCGGGGGACCGUAAGGCCUCGCGCGAUUGGAGCGGCCGAUGUCAGAUUAGGUAGUUGGUGGAGUAAAGGCUCACCAAGCCAACGAUCUGUAGCUGGUCUGAGAGGACGACCAGCCACACUGGGACUGAGACACGGCCCAGACUCCUACGGGAGGCAGCAGUGGGGAAUUUUGGACAAUGGGCGCAAGCCUGAUCCAGCAAUGCCGCGUGCAGGAAGAAGGCCUUCGGGUUGUAAACUGCUUUUGUACGGAACGAAACGGCUCUGGUUAAUACCCGGGGCUAAUGACGGUACCGUAAGAAUAAGCACCGGCUAACUACGUG